rnacentral:SRP_RNA from 1 species
GCCAGGUGCAGUGCUGCGCACCUGUAAUCCUAGCUACUCAGGAGGCUGAGGCAGGAGACUUGCUUGAACCCGGGAGGCAGAGGUUGCAGUGAGCAGAGAUGACGCCACUGCACUCCAGCCUGGGCAACAGAGCAAGACUCUGUCUCAA